AACCUGCCACUGUGUAAAGAGACAGACUACUACUUUGAGUACACAGAGUGUGACAGCACAGGCUCCAGAUGGAGAGUUGCCAUUCCUCACAGACAGGGAAGCUGCUCAGGCCUUCCAGAGCCUGUCAGAGGCACAGACUGCACUUUUUCUUGUGAAGCUGGGGAGUUUU